rnacentral:rRNA from 1 species
UACGUAGGGUGCGAGCGUUGUCCGGAAUUACUGGGCGUAAAGAGCUCGUAGGUGGUUUGUCGCGUUGUUCGUGAAAUCUCACGGCUUAACUGUGAGCGUGCGGGCGAUACGGGCAGACUGGAGUACUGCAGGGGAGACUGGAAUUCCUGGUGUAGCGGUGGAAUGCGCAGAGAUCGGGAGGAACACCCGUAGCGAAGGCGGCGCUCUGGGCCGGUACUGACGCUGAGGAGCGAAAGUGUGGGGAGCGAACAGG